GGCCGAGCGGGCUACCUGCAGUCGACGAGGGCCACGAGCUGCUUGCAGCACCUGUAACCGAGUGGCGGACGGGUGAGUAACACGUGACCAACCUACCUUCAGGCGGGGGACAACCCGGGGAAACUUGGGCUAAUACCGCGUAACGUUCUUUUGCCGCAUGGCAGCUGAACCAAAGAUGGCCUCUUUACAACGCUAUCCCCUGAAGAGGGGGUCCCGACCUAUCAGCUUGUUGGUGAGGUAAUGGCUCCCCAAGGCUACGACGCGUAGCGGGUCUGAGAGGACGACCCGCCCCAUUGGGACUGAGAUACGGCCCAGACUCCUACGGGAGGCAGCAGUGGGGAAUAUUGCGCAAUGGACGAAAGUCUGACGCAGCGACGCCGCGUGCGGGAGGAAGCCCUUCGGGGUGUAAACCGCUGUCAGGGGGGAAGAAACACGUCUGUGGGAAUAUCGCAGGCGCUUGACGGUGCCCCCAGAGGAAGCACCGGCUAACUCCGUGCCAGCAGCCGCGGUAAUACGGAGGGUGCAAGCGUUGUUCGGAAUUACUGGGCGUAAAGCGCGGGCAGGCGGUCCGUUAAGUCCCCUGUGAAACUCCGAGGCUCAACUUCGGACAUGCAGGAGAUACUGGCGGACUAGAGGUCGGUAGAGGCAGGCGGAAUUCCUGGUGUAGCGGUGGAAUGCGUAGAUAUCAGGAAGAACACCUGUGGCGAAGGCGGCCUGCUGGGCCGAUUCUGACGCUGAUCCGCGAAAGCGUGGGGAGCAAACAGGAUUAGAUACCCUGGUAGUCCACGCCUANACGAUGGGUACUAGAUGCCGGGUCUAUAGACAGGGUCGGUGUCGCAGUUAAC
rnacentral:rRNA from 1 species